CAAUGUUUAUGUUUUCUUGUAUAAAAUAGUUUCCCAAGAAUUUGUCAUGAAAGAGGAGUUAAAAAAAAAUUAGAUCCUGCAGGAUGCCUCUGCUAAUAUUCAUAUACAUACGUAUGUGUGUCGCUAAUGUAAUACGUGUACGUGAACGUUCAUGCAAAUUAUGUGAGUAAAAUGACAAAGUUGUACUUCUUCGAUUUAAAAAAAAAAAAACCGAUUCGACAUGAAUUAUGUGAAAUACAUCAAAAAAGCUUAAGGCUUUGAAAAUUUGUAUGCUUUAACUAUUCGUAUUUUAAGUAAUUUUUUAAAUCAAAUUUUUUUGAUCAAACUUUGUUUUUGAGUAACUCAAAAUAAUUCACUCCAUUUGGAAAAUUGACUAAGUAGAAAAGUUAUAAUUUUUAACUAUUCGGAUUUUAAGUAAUUUUUUGUUUUAAUCAAAUUUUUGAUCAAACAUUUUCUUUUUGACUAACUGAAAAUAAUUCAGUCGAUUUGGAAAAUUGACUAAGUAGAAAAGCUAUAAUUUUAUCAAUGUUUCGAAUGCUUUAACGGCCUUUGGCAUACUUUCCGUGGUACUACUUUUUUUUUUUUUAACUAAAUGCGCAACCAUAAAAUAGACACACUCAAAUAAAACGUUUCACUUUUUAUAUACGAACAUUAAACUUAGCGAACUUUUAUAUACAGAACAUAGAAUGCAUAAAUAUCCACAUACAUACAUACAUACUGCAAACAUAAGAAAAGUAUGAACUUAAAUGUGCCAUAGAAUAAAGUGCUUCAAACAGUUGCUAAUUUAAAUACAUAUUCAUAAAUAAUUUAACGUUUCUUAAUACACCUAUACAAAGCUAUGUAUUUACAUACAAACUUGCGAAAACAUAUGUACAUGCGCAUACAUACAAAUUUGCAAUUCAAUAUUAACUACAAAUAAAUUUUUGUCUUGUCCUAGAAAGCAUAAAAAUAUACUGAGAGACAGCUGAAAAUGUUAUGAAGUGUUUUCACACACGCCAAAUUACGCAAUUCGGACACUACAUUUACUCAAUUUCCACUGCAAACGCGAUACGUAUCUUAAUUUGUGUAAAAUUGAAAGUAGAAUUUAUGGCAGAUAAACAGAACAAAAGAAAUAUGUAGUUUAGAACAAAAAAAUAUGUAUAUAUUCGUUCAGAGUCGAAAUUGCGUAAUUUGAGGAUAGUGGAAACACACUGUUAAAGUUUCGGAAAAGUUCAAGGAAUUUAUAGGCUUUUACAACAUCCGCUAAAAAACGCUCGUUUGUACUGUACAAGACUGUCCAAAAGUUUUGCCUUCGUUGCUAUUAUUCCGGAAAAAUGCUCAAAGCACACCAUCUUCUACACAAGUGUACAUACAUACAUGUAUCGCCAGCGAUUUUUUUUUUUUGAAAAUUGAGGCUUACUAAUGCUCAUGGAAUUAAUAUUAAAACAUAAUGUGCACUUCUCAUACAAAAAGCGAGCACGUGAAAAAAGUAUCUAAAAAUUCGUAUACGAAAAGCACAAAAACUUAGUUACACUUGACUUUUUCCUAUAUACAGUAAGUGUGAUCGAGGUGUAAAGUGGAGUAUAGAACUUGCGCCUUUGGAAGCGUUUAAGUGUCAACCGAAUACAUACAAACUUACAUACAUACGCACAGUAGAACUUUAAAUGUUGUACACAUAUUUAGUCUCUAAGCUGCUAAUGAAAAUUUGAAACAGGCUCACUCACAAUCAGUGUUCAAAAUAAAUAAAUUGUUCCUUUUGUGUGUGGUGUACAUACUAUUUAGAUAUUUAAAUGUAGAAAGAAGUACAUUAAGCGCAACAAAAUGCCAACAACAAAUAAAACUCACAUCAAAAAGGCUUUAAAAGAAAAUUACGCACGAAAAUAUGUAGUUGAAAUUUGUUUGUAGUUAAAAUCGUUGCAUACUUUAGGGGUGUGAAUAAAAAGCACAUUCUUUUUUACUGCAGAAACCAAACACAAAAAAAUACAAAAUUUUGGAAAACUACUUUAUUGCGCGUAAACAAUGGAUUGCAGAAGAAAAUUUAAUACACUUGCGGCGUUGCGACGCAAAAAAAAGCUGUUUUUUUUUUAAAUAGUAGAAUCAUAUCUCCACAAUCAGAGAGUUACUCGGCCAAAUCAGUGAUUUAUGGAAAUUUUUGAAGCUCAAACAAAAAGUUUGCACGUGAGCAUACAAAAAUGGGGAAUAAGCUUUUAAAAGUAUGUAAUACACAAAACAUAAAAUUUGAAAGAUGCGCAAUGCAAAGG